rnacentral:misc_RNA from 1 species
GAAAUGCGAUAAGUAAUGUGAAUUGCAGAAUUCAGUGAAUCAUCGAAUCUUUGAACGCACCUUGCGCUCCUUGGUAUUCCUUGGAGCAUGCCUGUUUGAGUAUCAUGAAAUCUUCAAAGUAAAUCUUUUGUUAACUCAAUUGGUUUCUACUUUGGUAUUGGAGGUCUUUGCAGCUUCACACCUGCUCCUCUUUGUUCAUUAGCUGGAUCUCAGUGUUAUGCUUGGUUCCGCUCGGCGUGAUAAGUUAUCUAUCGCUGAGGACACUGUAAAAGGUGGCCAAGGUAAAUGCAGAUGAGCCGCUUCUAAUAGUCCAUUGACUUGGACAAUACUUUUAUGAUCUGAUCUCAAAUCAGGUAGGACUACCCGCUGAACUUAAGC